UACAGAGGUCCCGAGCGUUGUUCGGAUUCAUUGGGCGUAAAGGGUGCGUAGGCGGCCAUGUAAGUGGGGUGUGAAAUCCCUCGGCUCAACCGAGGAACUGCGCUCCAUACUGCAUGGCUUGAGGGAGACAGGGGUAAGCGGAACUGAUGGUGGAGCGGUGAAAUGCGUUGAUAUCAUCAGGAACACCGGUGGCGAAAGCGGCUUACUGGGUCUCUUCUGACGCUGAGGUACGAAAGCUAGGGGAGCGAACGGG
rnacentral:rRNA from 1 species